CUGUGACUGCUGUGCUCUGGGCGCCAGCUCACUCCAGGGAGUGAUGGGAAUCCUGUCAUUCUUACCUGUCCUUGCCACUGAGAGUGACUGGGCUGACUGCAAGUCCCCCCAGCCUUGGGGCCAUAUGCUUCUGUGGACAGCUGUGCUAUUCCUGGCUCCUGUUGCUGGGACACCUGCAGCUCCCCCAAAGGCUGUGCUGAAACUCGAGCCCCAGUGGAUCAACGUGCUCCAGGAGGACUCUGUGACUCUGACAUGCCGGGGAACUCACAGCCCUGAGAGUGACUCCAUUCAGUGGUUCCACAAUGGGAAUCUCAUCCCCACCCACACGCAGCCCAGCUACAGGUUCAAGGCCAACAACGACAGCGGGGAGUACACGUGCCAGACUGGCCAGACCAGCCUCAGCGACCCUGUGCAUCUGACUGUGCUUUCUGGUCAGUGGAGGAAGGCCCCAGGGUGGACCUGGGAGGGCCAGGACGGAUGAAAUCUGCUUUCAGGCAGAGGUUUGUAGGAAAGGGGGGUGGCCUGCUUACUGGGAAGUAUCUCUGUGAGUUGCCUCAGCACAUAUCAGUGGUUGCUUUGCCUCAGUCCUGAUUGAACAGAAGAAGGUUACAAGGCCAAAAACAGGCAGCCAAGUGUGAGAGAAGCAGAAGGAAAUCCCUACUGCAUAAAACCCAUUUCCAUUUUAAUGGCAGAAUUGAAAAGCACAGACCACAACUGAAUCCUAGCCCUGGAAAUGACGCACUAUACAACAUGAUGAAUUCAUUUAACCCUUGAGUUUCCAUUUCUUCACCUGCUCCGUGGGGCACUAACGCCUCCCUCAGAGGCCUCUGGUGAGAAUCAGUGUUUCCCUGCCCCCAUCCCGCCCUCCAUGCCCCAGCUCCAUGUUCUCACUGUGCUAGGUGCUCUUCUCUGUCUCUCUCUUCCACCAGCCUGUGGGAAACCUGAGAUGAAAGUCGUGUCUUACCCAUCUUUGUAUUUCCAGCAUCUGAAACUGGGCAGAGCUUAAUAAAUAUUUUGCUGGAGAGGUUGAUGAUCUUACAAAGCUCCCAUUGAAAGGUGGCUCUCUGUAAAGCAAAGUUACAAUGAGACUGUGAUGAACAUUGUCCUUGUGGCUUUUCACUUAGUCCCCUCCCUUCACCUGAAGAGCAAAUUUUCCUCAAAAGUACACAGCAAACGAAUGACCCACUGGUGACACUGCUGCCUUUAGACCCUGCUGGAAAGAAGCUCCACAUUUAUUAACAUUCCCAAAGUAAAUUUAUCAAGUAGCAUUCAUCAGGUAAAAUUUGUUGCACAUUCAUGACUUUUCUACUGUCCACAAAGGCAUAUGUCCUUAUCAUAUACAGACUCCUUGGCCACACUGGAUUCCUCCUUCCCUCCUCGACAUGGAAGAGAUGGCAUCUUAGGGUCUCUUGUGUUCUUCCUGCAGAGGCCUGUCGGGCAGGAAAAGGCUGCAGCUGCCUUCCUGGGAGAAGGAGGAGAUGAGUGUAUCCUGAACACCUACUAUGUGCUAGGGGCUAUUGUAGAUACAUGACAUUAUCAUGCCCAUUUUCACGAAUGAGGAAACUGAGGCUCAGAAGACUUAAAUUAUUUGCCCAAGAGUUCAUAAAUGACAGAGCCAGCAUUAGAGUCCAGGACUGUCUGAUUUCAAACCUAAGCUGUUCCCUCUGCACAUCGUGUCCCACCAGUAAGGAAGAUCUGGGUCUCAGAGCUGAGCCAAGACCUCCCGGGUCCUCUGUGGUUUUUUGUGUCUUUCAGAGUGGCUGGUGCUCCAGACCCCUCACCUGGAGUUCCAGGAGGGAGAAACCAUCGUGCUGAGGUGCCACAGCUGGAAGGACAAGCCUCUGGUCAAGGUCACAUUCUUCCAGAAUGGAAAAUCCAAGAAAUUUUCCCGUUCAGAUCCCAACUUCUCCAUCCCACAAGCAAACCACAGUCACAGUGGUGAUUACCACUGCACAGGAAACAUAGGCUACACGCUGUACUCAUCCAAGCCUGUGACCAUCACUGUCCAAGCGCCCAGCUCUUCACCGAUGGGGAUCAUUGUGGCUGUGGUCACUGGGAUUGCUGUAGCGGCCAUUGUUGCUGCUGUAGUGGCCUUUAUCUAUUGCAGGAAAAAGCAGAUUUCAGGUUUGUAGCUCCUCCCGGUCCCUUUUGUUAUCAGUUUCCACUU
rnacentral:sRNA from 1 species